CUGCAUCUGACGAGUCCCAAAUAGAACGAAACGCACGUUCUGGAU
rnacentral:hammerhead_ribozyme from 1 species